rnacentral:rRNA from 1 species
UACGAGAGGCCCAAACGUUAUUCGGAAUUACUGGGCUUAAAGAGUUCGUAGGCGGCAUUGCAAGUCGGGUGUGAAAGCCCUCGGCUCAACCGAGGAAUUGCGCUCUAAACUGCAGUGCUUGAGGAACCUAGAGGUGAGCAGAACAGAUGGUGGAGCGGUGAAAUGCGUUGAUAUCAUCUGGAAUACCGGAGGCGAAGGCGGCUCACUGGGAGUUUUCUGACGCUGAGGAACGAAAGCCAGGGUAGCGAACGGG